UACAGAGGUCCCAAGCGUUGUUCGGAUUCAUUGGGCGUAAAGGGUGCGUAGGCGGCGCGGUAAGUCGGGUGUGAAAGCCCACGGCUCAACCGUGGAGGGUCAUUGGAAACUGGGGGACUUGAGUGCAGGAGAGAAGAGUGGAAUUCCACGUGUAGCGGUGAAAUGCGUAGAGAUGUGGAGGAACACCAGUGGCGAAGGCGACUCUUUGGCCUGUAACUGACGCUGAGGCGCGAAAGCGUGGGGAGCAAACAGG
rnacentral:rRNA from 1 species